GGCAGAUUAGCAACCUUGCAAUUCAUUAAAAUGUUGAAGAUCUUUGAACAAAGAACUUGAGUGCAUGCAUAUUUAUAAAUUAUACCCAUGUGUGUAUAUAUAAUAUAAUAGCAUCUCAAUAAAUCAAACGCACACUAAAGUACAACGGUACAUAGCAAGCCAAUCAAGCCGCUGUCGAGCUCAUACAUGGUAUAAAUAUAUAAUCUCAAACUUGCAAAAAAAAGUUAAAAGAAAAAAAAAACAAAGGAAAGUAUUCAAACUGGUAGCCAGUGCAUGUCCCACAAUCCACAAUACGUAUGUUGAUCACUUCCACCAUUUAUAAGCCAAUAAAUAACGUAGAAGAGAAACAAUAUAUGCAUGUGUGUGUGUAUGUAUAUAUAUAUAGGUUAAUCAGGGACUAGUUGUAGCAGGAGGAGGUGAGAGAAGUGGGAUAGAGGGGAUUGUAGUUGGGAUAGUGGGGAGAGAAGGCAGAUUGCUUGGGAGUGGAGGUAAUGUCAGCUGUGGGAGAUUGUUGGGAAUUGUAGGAAGUGAAGGCAGACUCGGCUGGGGUAAAUUUGACAUCGAAGGCAAUGGCGGCAGAGUUGGCUGAGGCCGAGGAAAGCUUGGCAUCGGUGGCAAUGGUGGCAGCUGUAGGAGAUGACGACCUGCGAAGCCCACAUUCAUAUUUGAACAUGCCAAAACAAUAAAGAAAACUAAUACGAAGAAACUACGAGAAGAGGCCAUGAUCGUCGAAUCUAACUGUUACGAUGUAAGAUGUUUGGGAUGAAUGAUAAGGAAUUGACGAUAAAUUUGUUUGUGUGGAAGAAUUGGAGAAGAUCUUAGGGUUUAUAUAACAAGAGAGUUGGUGGUUUAGGGUUAGAUUUUCCUCUAUAUAUUAUAUAUAGUUUGUUCACCUUCUAAACCUUCUUUCUUUAGAAAAUACUGCCUUGCUUUUGAC
rnacentral:lncRNA from 1 species